CAUGCAGUCGAACGGUGAAGGAGAGCUUGCUCUUUGGAUCAGUGGCGAACGGGUGAGUAACACGUGAGCAAUCUGCCCCUGACUCUGGGAUAAGCGUUGGAAACGACGUCUAAUACCGGAUACGAGCUACGACCGCAUGGUCGGUAGUUGGAAAGAAUUUUGGUCAGGGAUGAGCUCGCGGCCUAUCAGCUUGUUGGUGAGGUAAUGGCUCACCAAGGCGUCGACGGGUAGCCGGCCUGAGAGGGUGACCGGCCACACUGGGACUGAGACACGGCCCAGACUCCUACGGGAGGCAGCAGUGGGGAAUAUUGCACAAUGGGCGCAAGCCUGAUGCAGCAACGCCGCGUGAGGGACGACGGCCUUCGGGUUGUAAACCUCUUUUAGCGAGGAAGAAGCGAAAGUGACGGUACUCGCAGAAAAAGCACCGGCUAACUACGUGCCAGCAGCCGCGGUAAUACGUAGGGUGCAAGCGUUAUCCGGAAUUAUUGGGCGUAAAGAGCUCGUAGGCGGUUUGUCGCGUCUGCUGUGAAAUCUGGGGGCUCAACCCCCAGCCUGCAGUGGGUACGGGCAGACUAGAGUGCGGUAGGGGAGAUUGGAAUUCCUGGUGUAGCGGUGGAAUGCGCAGAUAUCAGGAGGAACACCGAUGGCGAAGGCAGAUCUCUGGGCCGUAACUGACGCUGAGGAGCGAAAGGAUGGGGAGCAAACAGGCUUAGAUACCCUGGUAGUCCAUCCCGUAAACGUUGGGAACUAGUUGUGGGGUCCAUUCCACGGAUUCCGUGACGCAGCUAACGCAUUAAGUUCCCCGCCUGGGGAGUACGGCCGCAAGGCUAAAACUCAAAGGAAUUGACGGGGACCCGCACAAGCGGCGGAGCAUGCGGAUUAAUUCGAUGCAACGCGAAGAACCUUACCAAGGCUUGACAUAUACGAGAACGGGCUAGAGAUAGUCAACUCUUUGGACACUCGUAAACAGGUGGUGCAUGGUUGUCGUCAGCUCGUGUCGUGAGAUGUUGGGUUAAGUCCCGCAACGAGCGCAACCCUCGUUCUAUGUUGCCAGCACGUAAUGGUGGGAACUCAUGGGAUACUGCCGGGGUCAACUCGGAGGAAGGUGGGGAUGACGUCAAAUCAUCAUGCCCCUUAUGUYUUGGGCUUCACGCMUGCUACAAUGGCCGGUACAAAGGGSUGCAAUACCGUAAGGUGGAGCGAAUCCCAAAAAGCCGGUCCCAGUUCGGAUUGAGGUYUGCAACUCGACCUCAUGAAGUYGGAGUCGCUWGUAAUCGCAGAUCAGCAACGCUGCGGUGAAUACGUUCCCGGGUYUUGUACACMCCGCCCGUCAAGUCMUGAAAGUCGGUAACACCUGAAGCCGGUGGCCCAACCCUUGUGGAGGGAGCCGUCG
rnacentral:rRNA from 1 species